rnacentral:rRNA from 1 species
UACGUAGGGGGCAAGCGUUGUCCGGAUUUAUUGGGCGUAAAGAGCGUGUAGGCGGCCAUACAGGUCAGCUGUGAAAACUCGAGGCUCAACCUCGAGACGUCGGUUGAAACCGUAUGGCUAGAGUCCGGAAGAGGAGAGUGGAAUUCCCGGUGUAGCGGUGAAAUGCGCAGAUAUCGGGAAGAACACCCGUGGCGAAGGCGGCUCUCUGGGACGGUACUGACGCUGAGACGCGCAAAGCGUGGGAGGCGA